rnacentral:rRNA from 1 species
CCCUUAGUUGUUCUGGGCUGCACGCGCGCUACACUGAAGCUAUCAACACGUUUUCCCUCCCUGAGAAGGGCGGGUAACCUUUUGAAUCAGCUUCGUGGUAGGGAUCGGGGCUUGCAAUUGUUCCCCGUGAACCAGGAAUUCCUAGUAGACGCGAGUCAUAAGCUCGCAUCGAUUAAGUCCCUGCCCUUUGUACACACCGCCCGUCGCUACUACCGAUUGAACGUUUUAGUGAGGCAUUUGGACCGACGCAUCUCAGUUUAACCGCUGGUUUGUGUUGGAAAGACUUCCAAACUUGAGCGUUUAGAGGAAGUAAAAGUCGUAACA